rnacentral:rRNA from 1 species
GACGAACGCUGGCGGCGUGCUUAACACAUGCAAGUCGAGCGGUAAGGCCCUUUCGGGAGUACACGAGCGGCGAACGGGUGAGUAACACGUGGGUGACCUGCCCUUAGCUCUGGGAUAAGCCUGGGAAACUGGGUCUAAUACCGGAUAUGACUCCAUGACGCAUGUUGUGGGGUGGAAAGCCUUGUGCGGCUAGGGAUGGGCCCGCGGCCUAUCAGCUUGUUGGUGGGGUGGUGGCCUACCAAGGCGACGACGGGUAGCCGGCCUGAGAGGGCGACCGGCCACACUGGGACUGAGACACGGCCCAGACUCCUACGGGAGGCAGCAGUGGGGAAUCUUGCGCAAUGGGCGAAAGCCUGACGCAGCGACGCCGCGUGAGGGAUGACGGCCU